GCCAGCGGCAAGAGCACAUUAAAUGUACCAGGUCUCGAUGAAUCACUGUAGUUAAGCAAUGUUCGGCGAAGUUGGAAUCCGGAUGGGUGACCAUAUGGGCAAUAGCGUGCUGCUAGUU
rfam:Asian citrus Psyllid, Diaphorina citri - Florida Strain, whole genome shotgun sequence.